rnacentral:rRNA from 1 species
GGCUCAGAGCGAACGCUGGCGGCAGGCUUAACACAUGCAAGUCGAGCGGGCGUAGCAAUACGUCAGCGGCAGACGGGUGAGUAACGCGUGGGAACAUACCUUUUGGUUCGGAACAACACAGGGAAACUUGUGCUAAUACCGGAUAAGCCCUUACGGGGAAAGAUUUAUCGCCGAAAGAUUGGCCCGCGUCUGAUUAGCUAGUUGGUGAGGUAAUGGCUCACCAAGGCGACGAUCAGUAGCUGGUCUGAGAGGAUGAUCAGCCACAUUGGGACUGAGACACGGCCCAAACUCCUACGGGAGGCAGCAGUGGGGAAUAUUGGACAAUGGGCGCAAGCCUGAUCCAGCCAUGCCGCGUGAGUGAUGAAGGCCCUAGGGUUGUAAAGCUCUUUUGUGCGGGAAGAUAAUGA